rnacentral:rRNA from 1 species
CAGCAGCCGCGGGAAUACGUAGGGUGCAAGCGUUAAUCGGAAUUACUGGGCGUAAAGCGUGCGCAGGCGGUUAUAUAAGACAGAUGUGAAAUCCCCGGGCUCAACCUGGGAACUGCAUUUGUGACUGUAUAGCUAGAGUACGGCAGAGGGGGAUGGAAUUCCGCGUGUAGCAGUGAAAUGCGUAGAUAUGCGGAGGAACAUCAGUGGCGAAGGCGGCCAUCUGGGACAACACUGACGCUGAGGCACGAAAGCGUGGGGAGCAAACAGGAUUAGAGACCCCUGUAGUCCCUGUCUCUUAUAC